UACAGAGGGGGCAAGCGUUGUUCGGAAUUACUGGGCGUAAAGGGCGCGUAGGCGGCCCGCUAAGUCGAACGUGAAAUCCCCGGGCUCAACCCGGGAACUGCGUCCGAUACUGGCAGGCUUGAAUCCGGGAGAGGGAUGCGGAAUUCCAGGUGUAGCGGUGAAAUGCGUAGAUAUCGGGAGGAACGCCGGUGGCGAAAGCGAUUCUCUGGUCCUUUCCUGACACUGAGGCGCGAAAGCUAGGGGAGCAAACAGG
rnacentral:rRNA from 1 species